rnacentral:rRNA from 1 species
AUUGAACGCUGGCGGCAGGCCUAACACAUGCAAGUCGAACGGUAACAGGAAGAAGCUUGCUUCUUUGCUGUCGAGUGGCGGACGGGUGUGACAUGUCUGGGACACUGCCUGAUGGCGGGGGAUACCUACUGGAAACGGUAGCUAUUACCGCAUAUCGUCUCAAGACCAAAAUUGGGACGUUCGGGCCGCUUUCCAUCUGACUUGCCCAGAUGGGAUUAGCUAGUAGGUUGGGUAACGGCUCACCAAGGCGACGAUCCGUAGCUGGCCUGAGAGGAUGACCAGCCACACUGGAACUGAGACACGGUCCAGACUCCUACGGGAGGCAGCAGUGGGGAAUAUUGCACAAUGGGCGAAAGCCUGAUGCAGCCAUGCCGCGUGUAUGAAGAAGGCCUUCGGGUUGUAAAGUACUUUCAGCGGGGAGGAAGGGAGUAAAGUUAAUACCUUCGCUCAUUGACGUUACCCGAAGAAAAAGCACCGGCUAACUCCGUG